GUCUCGAUGGUCUAAUGGUUAUGAUUUGUGUCUCACAAGUAGUUGGCUCACAGAGGCUUGGUUACGACGUUGCAUAUUGCAACGGCUGUGCACACACGGUUCCCAGUUCGAUCCUGGGUCGAGACA